rnacentral:rRNA from 1 species
UACGUAGGGACCAAGCGUUGUUCGGAUUUACUGGGCGUAAAGGGCGCGUAGGCGGCGUGACAAGUCACUUGUGAAAUCUCCGGGCUUAACUCGGAACGGCCAAGUGAUACUGUCGUGCUAGAGUGCAGAAGGGGCAAUCGGAAUUCUUGGUGUAGCGGUGAAAUGCGUAGAUAUCAAGAGGAACACCUGCGGCGAAGGCGGGUUGCUGGGCUGACACUGACGCUGAGGCGCGAAAGCUAGGGGAGCGAACGGG